CCAGGCUUCAUUACCCCGUCAAUCUGAAGAGAGAGAGAUAGAGAGGGAGAAACAGGCCGGCCAGGGCCCAGCAGUGGGGCCGGAUCCAUAUGGUGCUGCCGGCUCUGGAAUGAAUAGUGAAUGGAGCGGCUGGGCGCUGGGCUGCUGGAAUCUGCCUCCAAGCCUUUGUGAACAGGAUGACCAAAGACAAGAGGGAGCUCUGCAGAUGGCCAGGGCUAUAAAUAGAUGCAGGAGAGGGUGUGAGACUGAAAGCGCGUGAGUGUGGUCUGCACUGCAGGGGGGGGCUGCUCAAACACAAGCCGGGGAACGCAGGGAGAUUGAGCAGUUGUGUUUUCGGUCCAAACUUCUCGCAGAUGGACUUUAAAGUGCGACUGCGUCAAGCGAGGCUGAGUUCCUGGAUUGAACCGCGGGAGGUUCUCAGCAGUCAAGAGACACUUGGAUGCUGCUGAUGCUGCUGAUGCCCUGCGGAUUGAACUUUGGCGGCAGGAUUAAGGCCCAUCCUUGUCAUCCCACAGGGCAGAGUGGUUUGAUUGACAGCUGGGUUCAGCAUCUUGACACAGGUCCGUGCCCCCGUCAUCAUCGCUGAUCGUCCCAUGCCGGCCUCUCAGAGUGACAGGUGCCUGCAGAGCCAUUUACUCCUCACGCAGCCGAAAAGAAAAAGUCGCCACGACUGCUCUCCUCCGCUUCCUGCACCUCUUCGUAACGUAUUUCCUUUUUAGCUUCCUGUAUUUCCCUUUUUUUUAGUAUUGUUUUUUUUCAUUUGGUUCUCCUUGACCUCAUCCUCUUUUCUCUCGUCUCUGAUCAACUCUCAAGUAUCUUCUGCAGGCAUCUUUUAAUCUAAAGGAAUCUGCCAGAUCUUAAUUAAGGUAAUUACUGUGUUUGUUUUAACUUAACACUCAUGACUCCACUCGAGCUACAAUCUUUGAGCGGGCUAUAACAGAUGGGGUGCUUAGUACUCCAUUGGGAUGCCUGACAGGAGUCAGCUGUAUGAUUUUUGAGCUUGAUGUUUUUUAGCUUAAUUUACCUCGCAAAACCGCUUAACAGGAAUUCCUCCCAAACCUUUCGCACAAAUGUUAAAAGGUGUCAUUAAUGUGUUAGGAGGGAAACCGAAACUGCUAUAUUUAUCAUGCGGAAUGGCUGGUUAGCUUUUAAUCACCACCACAAAAUGCGACAUUCCCUGAAGCUCUGUCACUAUGUGUUUUUUUUCGCAUGUACGUUUGGGCCUCAAGGGUUCUGGUUCAUCAACUCACAUUCAUCUCGUGACGAGCUGCUACACAACGUGUGGCGAUCCGCGAGCGACAAAACGCGUCUCUAUCUGUCUCGUUUGCUACUCAAAAGUUAGGAAACUCCAGGUUGUAAGCGUUUUAACAUGUAUCAUGUAACAUGUAACAUGUAUCAUGACCGAGAUACAUAUUGUGUGUGUGUGUGUGUGUGUGUGAGAGACCCAGAAGGACAGGAGGGCAUCAGAUGAGUACAGACUGUUUCCACCUGCCAGGUGCUUGGUCUCUAAUCCCCCCUCUCUGUCUGAUUAAACACACACACACACACACACACACACACACACACACACACACACACACACACACAUGCGUGUGCACGGGCACAACAAGGUCAUCUCUCUGUCAACCAUACAAUAGCGCUGUGUACCCAUCUGGCCUACAUCCUAAAUGCUUCCUCUUCAGUAAGCAAAUAAAAAAAAGGAGAAGACAGCAAACACUUGGAUCCAUAGCAACAGGUUACAAGUAAAUGACGAUUACAACAAUGGCGCUAUUUUACCACGUACUCCUUGUUCAUAAUGACAUGUCAUGUGCAGCCUGAUCUCCAAAACCUGUUCGUAAAAAUGUACACGAAAAUCUUGAAAAUACAAAUUUCGUAGUGAUACAUACGAAAUGACGUCACCCUAUUCAAAGUGAACGGGGACCUGCACCCCGUAAACACACUUUGUGAAGUCUAACGAUGUAAAAUAAACGUGUUAUGAUUGCAUUUUUAACGAGAAAUCAGUGUUAACUUGUAAGAAUAGAAUCCUAACCCUAACCCCCUCCAAAAAUCCGGCGAGGCGGAGAGACGUUCACUCAAGAAUCCGACAUGGUCCGCCAUGUUGUUCACUCAAGGGGCGUGGUUAACCCCCGCAGUUCGUAGGUAUCACUACGAAAUUUGUAUGUUCAAGAUUUUCGUAUACAUUUUUACGAACAGGUUUUGGAGAUCACGUUGGUCAUGUGACUAGUUGGGGAGAGGCCGGCAGUCACUUGUUUUGCCGUAUGUCCUUCUCUGUCCCGUGCACCCAGAGCUCCACUCAGAGAGGAUGAAGCCUGACACAAUAGUUUCUUUGUAUGAUAUCAAAAACACACUUUUAAGAACGCCGUUGUGCACCAAAGCUCGGCCAAAACCGCACGAGAUCCCCCUUCUCCCUUUUACAAUAAUAAAACUGCCUUUCUCUCUCUCUCUGUUUCCUGUUUUUACUUUGGAAUAUGACAAGCCUCCCCUGUGGUGAGGUCAUAUCAUUCUGACAAUGUUUUAUUCUGGGAGUACAACGCUUUGAUAUCUAGGAUAAGAGGGCUUUGUAGAGACAGUGACACCCGUCCUCCUCCUUCUACCUCCUCGGUACCCUCCCACUCCUCUGCCUUUCCUUCCCCUGGGGGGGUUUUGGCUUCUUCUGCCCCAUCUGACGGCUUUUAUGUCUGACGAGGUUUCUGCGCUGUUGAGGUGAGGACGAGGUCAAAAAGGACUUCAAACGCCGCGCUGAGGAACGCCAUGUCUGAAAUGAAUGAAGACGAAUGCGAAAAAAAAAAUUGUUUGUGUAACGUUUUGAACGGACACCUGAGUUCUGG
ensembl:lncRNA